rnacentral:lncRNA from 10 species
UUCGACAUGAGAUUUGGGAGAUGACACAAAACCAAACCAUAUCAGUCUUUAAAGAGUUAAGUUAAAAUAAGCUCUUUAAAGUGGGCCCUAAUCCAGUAUGACUGGUGUUCUUAUAAGAAGAGGAGAUUUGGUCACAGACAUGGUUGCAUGCAGAAUAAAGACUUUUCGAGGACACACUGAGAAGGCAGCCAUCUGCAAAACAAGGAAAGAGUCCUCAGCAGAAACCAGUCCUGCAGACUCCUUGAUCUUGGACUUCCAGCCACUGCAAUUGCCAGCAGUCAGUUGCAAUCUGGAAGUUGCAGUCUUAACCAGUCUAAAGCUGAAUUAAAGAGAAGUAAAACCAUAAUGAGCAGCCAAGAGGAAGUCCCCAGGGGUCCAGAUGACAGAAUGAAGCAUGCAUGUUGGGGAGAUGAUCAGAACAGGCACCUGGACCCCUGUGGGGUCAAGGGCUCUGCUCUCCCCUACAUGGGAGCUCUGCAGGCUGCUCUCCCCUCUGCACAGGGAACCUGUGUUUGCAACCUGUCUCCCUCCUGGGCCUGCCCAUCGCUGUCCUGACCAGCAGCCUCCAUCAGUAGGAUCCUUUUUGUUUUCUCUUUCUUCUUCCAUUUAUCCACAAGCCUUACUGAGAGCCCACCUUAUGCGCAGCUGCCAAGAGUCCAAACCCCAUCCUCCAAGGUUGGUGGUGUAGGAGAAUUACUGUGUGGGUAAAGGAGACUGGACUCCGUGGGUCCUGCUCUUGCCUCUGGAGAUUCAGCUUCCCCAAUGGCUCCUCUCCCUGAUUAUGAUUGCCAUCUCCAGCCUUGACGCCCCUAUUUCUGGGGUCCUUACAUUUAUGUUUACAGGCGCUGCAGUCUGAAAACAGCUCCCAGAGUGACCCUAAUCAGAUCAUGGUGCCCUCUUGUCCAAAAUCUUUUCAGUGUUUUCCCAAAUCACUCAGGAGCUUACAAGACCCUACCAAGACUGGCUCCCCUGUUCUCCGCUAGUCUCAUCUUCUCUGAUUCUCUCUCUUCUAUCUCGGGUACUAACACACUGGCAGCCUUUCUGAGCUGGAUGCUCCCUUACAUCCCUUGGAUACUCCAAGCACGCCCUGCCUUGGGCCUUCUGCACUUGCUAUUGGCUGCCUGCAAUGUCGUUGGCCAGUCAGCCACAUGACCCAGUCCCUCACUUCCUUUGGGUCUUUGCUCAAGCUCACAUUCUCAGUGAGGCCUUUUCUGACCUCCAGUGUUUAAAAUCUCACCCCUUAUCACAGACAACCCCAAUCCCCUUCCCUACUUUAUUUUCCCCAUUAUUCUCCUUACCAUCUGACAUACCACGUAUUUAUUUCUUCUUUGCCUCCCCCUUCUAGCUUACUAGAAGGUAAGCUCCAAGAAGGUGGGAGUUUUUCUGCUUUGUUGCACUGUCACCAGCACCCAGAACAGCACCCAUAGCAUCAUGUCUGCCAUUUGUUGAAUGAAUAUGCUCAAAGUACAGCUAGUGAAUUGGAAAAUGAACCCGUGAUGGGGAGUAAUUACGAAAAAAGAUUCAUGUGUUCUUUCCUAAGUGACUCAUUUGUUCUUUAAAAACAGUCAUGUGCUGCAUAAUGACAUUUUGGUCAAUAACAGACUGCAGAUAUGAUGGUGGUUCCAUAAGAGUAUAAUGUGAUAUUUUUACUGUAUUUUUUCUAUGUUUAGAUUCACAAAUGCUUACCAUUGUGUUACAAUUGCCUACAGUAUUCAGUACAGUCACAGGCUGUAUGGGUUUGUAGUCUAGGAGCAGUAAGCUAUACCAUAGAGCCUACGUGUGUCGUAGGUCAUACCAUCUAGGUUUGUGUAAGUGCACUCCAUGACGUUUGCACAACAUCACCUAAUGAUGCAUUUUCUCUGAGGCAAUGCAUGACUGUAUCCGAAGCUGAAAAUGAGUUUGUUGCCCUCCCACUUCCGGAAAUGGAUAAUUCCUACAGUACCUGUAUCAGGCCCACCCUGUUCACCUCAUUCUUCUUCCUCGGUUCUGAUGGCAAGUGGUUUCCAACUCAUAGCUGUGGACCUACGAAACACUUGCAUGGCUUUCUGUAAGGCUGGGCAAGUCAGUGAAGGUGAAAUGUAAAGCCCACUCCCUACAAACGACUAGUAUUCACUCACCUCUCUCACCCCCAGUUACUGAUAUAGUUUAACAAAUAGCUAUGAUUACCUCUGCAGAAAAGGGUUUUUAGAAAAUUACAUUCUGUUUGUUUUUAUUAUUGUUGCAAAAAGAGAUAAAAUCUUGGCAUCUUUGAAUUUACACUGCUUAAGGUUACCAAACAGAAUGGGCAGUAGAAUCCUAUGUUUACAGUGUUUAUAUGUAUAAAUGUACAUGUGUAUAUAUGUAUAAAGAUUAAAGAAUACAACAAUAGGCUAAUAUUUGGGUAUGAUGAAAAUAAUAUAAUUUUUAUUCAACUGUUUUUUCCAUAAUAAGUGUAUAUUAUGUAUAUGAUAUGAAGAACACCAAUCAUUCUUCUUUUUUUAAAAAAAAAGAAAGGCUGGGUGCAGUGGCUCACGCCUGUAAUCCUAGCACUUUGGGAGGCCAAGGCGGGUGGAUCACCUGAGGUCGGGAGUUCGAGACCAGCCUGACCAACAUGGAGAAACCCCGUCUCUACUAAAAAUGCAAAAUUAGCCGGGUGUGGUGGCGCAUGUGCCUAAUCCCAGCUACUUGGGAGGUUGAGGCAGGAGAAUCGCUUGAACCCGGGAGGCAGAGAUUGUCGUGAGCUGAGAUUGCGCCAUUGCACUCCAGCCUGGGCAACAACAGCGAAACUCUGUCUCAAUAAAUAAAUAAAUAAAUAAAUAAAUAAAUAAAUAAAUAAAAAGAAAAAAGAAAAAGCCCUUGUUUUAAUUGGGCACAUACUAAAGGUCAGCUUUCUAAUAUAGGGAAACAAGAAAAUGAUCCUUUUGAAUGUGACUAUUAUUUUUACUUUGUGAUUUCAGCUUUUACGUUGGACUCAAUAAACUAAAAAAAGGCAAACUGAAAUAUGUCAAGCUUCAGCACCCUUGCAUCUCUGGAUAAAUGAAAUGUCACCCCAGCUGCCGUCCUUGUUCAGAUCUGUGCAAUAAAGAGCAAAGCAUAAAACCAAGUCAAGGCUUUGAGGGAGUGACCUACAAAAUGCAUAAUGUGAAACAAUGCAAAAGCGAAAGGUGCAAAAUCCCCAUCAAAGAGCUGGAGGCUGACAGAUGCGCCAGUGAUAAUUCCCAUCUUCCAACACAGGAGCACAGCUUCCAUUUUCCAUAACAGAACAACAGCCAGAGCAGCUGGAAGGCAGGGCCGCAUCCCAGACUUCCACCAACAAUGGGAUGAGACUUGACAUCUGGAAUCACAACCACAACAGACCUGAGAGACCCACCAGCUUGAUGACAAGCUUCUUCUUUCAAAGAAAGGUAUCAGUCUGGGGGACCUAGUGCUGCAAACCAUGACAAAUUAAGUGUGGCAUCCCUCACUUGCAUAAUGGAACUCAGUGAUAUUUUUUAAUUAACAAGAGUUAUUUUUAUGUAAGCUUCUCUCAUUCCUCCACUGUGCGUGCUCGGGGGCUGGUGGUGAGGAAAAAGAAAACAGCUGUGCGGGAAGCAUCAAGAAAAGGCAAGUCAUGAAGUCUUAGAGAUCAGUGACAUGUAAGAAAAAGAGUGAGGAGAAAAAUAUUCCUACUAAAGUUUUCCAUUUGUUUACCUUCCUUGUCACAUAGACUUCCAAGAGUUAGAAGUCUAGGAUUUGAUCUCCAAAUCUUCCUGGCAGAUUACUCAUCUUCAUUUCAUUCAUAUAGUCCAGGGGUUUGUACAAAGGAAGAUGCCAGUUCUUCCCCAAUCAUAACUAAGAUAUCAAGAGAUAUUCUUUUGAAAUGUAACAAAGGAGAUCUGAAGUUCAUCUGAAAAAAAUAAAUGGGUUUAGGCGGUCAUGACCAUGGGAUGCUGGACCAGGAUGGUAAGCUUCAGGAAACAGAAUCUGGAGAAUGCCCAGCUGCUCCCACAGGAAGCAUCAGGGAAGAAGAAGAAGAGGUGUGAAGUCUGCCUUCUGCUCUGCUGGGAUCCCUUUCACAUCUCCUUUGCCUCCAGGCAGUUUUGGUUCCUGGCCAUUUCCAGGUGUGACUCACUCAGGAUGGUAAGCAUCUUCUCUCCUACCCAGAGUAGAGGAUGAAGACCUCAUCUCAGAGGUUGAAGGGAGCUCCAGAGAGAGGUCUCAAACUUCCAGCAUUAACUGCUAAAGAAGCUUCAUGAGCUGCUGGAGAACCUGGGAAAUGACCAAUUAUAGGGACAGAGCUCAAAUACUCUGGGACACUCUAGUAGCUGAGAAAGUUCCAACUCCAGGGUGAUAGAGGACUGCCUGGCAAACCAUCAUCAAAGCAGAAGACCUGAUACUAACAUCACAGGCUAUGGUUUAUUACUGAAGAUCAGUGCUUACACCCUGCCAGAGGUUCAGAAGCAAACUUAUCAUUGUUCUCCCUGGAGAUGUUGGCCCACAUUCUGAAAAGUGUGGUCAGUAGUAGCAACAGAAAGCAAUUGUGCUUGCCAAGCACAAUGUCACUGUCCCCAGCCCUUCCCCCAACACAACCCAGUAGGUGCUUCCUGGCUGCAAACUUGGGAAAGUCACUUGACCUGUCUGAGGUUCCACUUCCUAAUCUGGCCUGGCGAAGAUAAGAAAAACAGUUUAUUUAAAGUGUCUAGCAAAGUGCUUGGACCAAAAUAGGACCUCUGAAAUGGUUAUGGUAGUGCUGUUAAGGUGAUGUUUUAAGUGCUGAUGAGCACAAAGAUGGGUAAGAUAUUCCUUCUGUUAAAAUCUACAGUCUAAUGAGAGAGAACAAGAUGAAUGCACAAUAACUGUCAUUCAGAACAGGAUUAUGAGAAGGUGUGAAUUUCUGUGAAAAAUCAGAACAGGGAGUAAUAUGAUCCCAGGUGAUUGGCAGGGGGUGGGGGUCUGGAUUCAACUGGAGAGGGAGCUGGCAGGGAAGGCUUCCUGGAGGAUGAGAGUUCAACAAGGGGCAGGUGUAGGAUGUGGGUGGCCAAGUGACUGGGCAGAAGGAGCUGCAGAAGUAAGACCCCAAAUCAGGAAGACAAGGGCCUGCUGAGAAACACGAGCUACAAAGUGCAAGUGCAGGAAGAGUUGGGAUGAGAUUAGAAGGGGGUCUGGGGCCAGACUGUGGAAGGCCCAAAUGCCGGGCUAAGGAGUUUGUACUUAAUUCAGUGGUCAACGGGGAGUCAUUGGAGGCUGUUGAGCAGGAGAGUUGCUUUCUUUACAGCUGUGCCAGACUAAAUUAAACCUAAACAGUACUUUAUAGCUGGAAAGGGAAGGCCCAGGAAUAGCUCUUGACUCAGAAACAGGCAUUGGGGAAGGUAAUGAGAAACAGCCGUGACUGAUCAAAGCAGAGAGGUUAAUUAAAUUUGUAAUUAUUGUGAAAGGCCAUUAAAAACCCUAGUUCACUAGAGAUAACUGCUCUAGUGGGGCUUCAAAGACAAACGCUUCUUUUAACCUUGAAUAGGGGGAUGUUUGCUUCUCUGUGGAGGAGAUAUGAUUAAGAUACUUAAUAAAUGGUAGAUAAACAUGCAC